rnacentral:tRNA from 2 species
GCGCCCGUAGCUCAAUGGAUAGAGCAACAGGUUUCUACCCUGUCGGUUGGGGGUUCGAGUCCCUCCGGGCGCACCA